CAACCCUUAAGCCCUGUUGCUUAGCGUUGGGAGCCUACGGCACCGUAGCUCCCCAAAGUCAGUGGCGGAGUCGGUCUCACACUCUAGACGUAGUAAAUCUGUCUCGUCUGUAGUUGGGCCGCCCCCCGCCGUAAAACACCCCGAUUUUAAAAGG
rnacentral:misc_RNA from 1 species